AGAAUCAACGCUGGCGGCGUGCCUAACACAUGCAAGUCGCACGAGAAAGGGGCUUCGGCUCUGAGUAAAGUGGCGCACGGGUGAGUAACACGUGAAUAAUCUACCUCCGAGUGGGGAAUAACUGAGAGAAACCUUAGCUAAUACCGCAUAAUACCUACGGGUCAAAGGAGCAAUUCGCUUUGGGAGGGGUCGCGGCCGAUUAGUUAGUUGGCGGGGUAAUGGCCCACCAAGACGAUGAUCGGUA
rnacentral:rRNA from 1 species